rnacentral:rRNA from 1 species
UACGUAGGGACCAAGCGUUGUUCGGAUUCAUUGGGCGUAAAGGGUGCGUAGGCGGCGCGGUAAGUCGGGUGUGAAAUCUCGGAGCUUAACUCCGAAACUGCAUUCGAUACUGCCGUGCUUGAGGACUGGAGAGGAGACUGGAAUUUACGGUGUAGCGGUGAAAUGCGUAGAUAUCGUAAGGAAGACCAGUGGCGAAGGCGGGUCUCUGGACAGUUCCUGACACUGAGACACGAAGGCCAGGGGAGCAAACGGG